AGCGAACGCUGGCGGCAGGCCUAACACAUGCAAGUCGAGCGGGCACUUCGGUGUCAUCGGCCGACGGGUGAGUAACACGUGGGAACGUACCCUUCGGUUCGGAAUAACGCUGGGAAACUAGCGCUAAUACCGGAUACGCCCUUUUGGGGAAAGGUUUACUGCCGAAGGAUCGUCCCGCGUCUGAUUAGCUAGUUGGUGGGGUAAUGGCCUACCAAUGCGAAGAUCAGUAGCUGGUCUGAGAGGAUGGUCAACGACACUGAGACUGAGACACGGCCCAGACUCCUACGGAAGGCAGCAGUGAAGAAUAGUGAAAAAUAGGCGCAAGACUGAGCCAGCAAUGCCGCGUGAGUGAUGAAGGACUUGGGGUAGUAAAGCUCAUUUGACCGGGACGAUAAUGACGGUACCGGAUGAAAAAGCCCCGGCUAACUUCGUG
rnacentral:rRNA from 1 species